GGUCUUUUAGUAUAAUGGUAGAACAUUAUCCCUUCACGAUAAUAGUACCAGUUCGAAUCUGGUAAAGACUA
rnacentral:tRNA from 1 species